GCGGCCAAGUAUUUUUAUGUGGUCUUGAGAACCUCUGGAAGACUGACGUGGCUCUUUCCUCUUUGGUUCUGCAGUAGGAGCAAGCAAAGCAUCAACUCAACAAAAUGGAGCUGGAGGCGAUGACCAGAUACACCAGUCCGGUGAACCCGGCAGUCUUCCCCCACCUCACUGUGGUUCUACUGGCUAUCGGGAUGUUCUUCACUGCGUGGUUCUUUGCUACGAGGUGACGUCCACUAAGUACACCAGAGACGUGUACAAAGAGCUGCUCAUCUCCCUGGUGGCGUCUCUCUUCAUGGGCUUCGGAGUACUGUUUCUCUUACUGUGGGUCGGCAUCUAUGUCUGACGGAUUGUUAUAUUGAUACAGAAGAACAUUCCAGUGGAACAGGAGAAGGACAUGAAAUGGGCUCCACUACAAGAUGGUUAURGAUUGGAUUGCACUGACAAGACAGUGGGGACUGUGGGUUGGGGUGGCCUUUCAAUAAAUAAGAGACAUUUGUACAAAACUG